AGCGAACGCUGGCGGCAGGCUUAACACAUGCAAGUCGAGCGGGCACUUUCGGGUGUCAGCGGCGGACGGGUGAGUAACGCGUGGGAACGUGCCCUCUGGUUCGGAAUAACUCAGGGAAACUUGAUCUAAUACCGGAUACGCUCUUUUGGGGAAAGGCUUGCUGCCGGAGGAUCGGCCCGCGUCUGAUUAGCUAGUUGGUGAGGUAACGGCUCACCAAGGCGACGAUCAGUAGCUGGUCUGAGAGGAUGAUCAGCCACACUGGGACUGAGACACGGCCCAGACUCCUACGGGAGGCAGCAGUGGGGAAUAUUGGACAAUGGGCGCAAGCCUGAUGCAGCCAUGCCGCGUGAGUGAUGAAGGCCUUAGGGUUGUAAAGCUCUUUUAUCCGGGACGAUAAUGACGGUACCGGAGGAAUAAGCCCCGGCUAACUUCGUG
rnacentral:rRNA from 1 species